AACCCAUAGUGAGGGCACAUUCUUAAAAGGUCCUUGUAUCUCUCCCAUGCAUCGUAGAGUGUUUCUAAAUCCAUCUGCACAAACGAAAAGAUAUCAUUACGUAAUUU
rnacentral:snoRNA from 1 species